AAACGUAGGAGGCGAGCGUUAUCCGGAUUUACUGGGCGUAAAGCGUACGCAGGUGGCUUCGUGAGUCGGACAUGAAAGCUCCCGGCUUAACUGGGAGAGGUUGUUCGAUACUGCGGGGCUUGAGGUUGGGAGAGGGACGUGGAAUUCCCGGUGUAGUGGUGGAAUGCGUAGAUAUCGGGAGGAACACCAGUGGCGCAAGCGGCGUCCUGGCCCACACCUGACGCUGAGGUACGAAAGCGUGGGUAGCAAACAGGAUUAGAUACCCUGGUAGUCCACGCUGUAAACGAUGUCAACUGGGUGUCGGUAGUUUUACACUAUCGGUGCCGAAGCCAACGCGUUAAGUGGACCGCCUGGGGACUACGGCCGCAAGGCUAAA
rnacentral:rRNA from 1 species